GUGGAUUUGUGAUUUCUGCCCUUGAGUCUAUUUAUGUACUUAUUGAAUUUAUUGGUUUGCGUAUGUUGAACCAUUCUUUUUUACUGGGGUGAAGCCACUUCAUGGAUCACAGUAUGUGAUCUUUCUAAUGUGUCAUUGAAUCUGAGAAUCGAAUCACUCAACCACUGGGUUUGAAUCACUUUCAACAGAUGAGACGAUUGCAUUCAGGUGAUCUUUCCUUCAUGCACACCAUCCAACCUUACUCGAAGAAGAUCAAGCAAAUGCACACCUACUUCCCAUCACAGACUCAGAGCUGUUGUUUGCUGUGGGGUACAGCAGAGUUCGGAAACCAUCCACUUCACAAAAUCUCCACUCCUCACCGAGAAGGCCUUCAAACCCAGAACUGUUGCAGCUAGAGCAGCACCACUCAUCUGAUUGCACAGAAACCACCAGAAGCACAUUUGGAUCUAAUUUUAGCACUAUGAUGAAUGGCCCAGGAAUGAAUUCCACUGCCCUCCACAAAAAGGAAGAUACAUCAGACCUGCCCAGGUGUGUGUCAUUUCCUUGUCUUGGGAGCUCUCAGCUUUCAAAUGGCAGCCUGGAUUUUUCUGGAUGGAAGCUCCAUUGUGUCUGUGUUUUGGCUUGGUAAGCACUACUGGGAAGUGGCCAAGGGUGCUUAGUAACCAGUGCUAGAUCAGCCCUCAAGGUCUGUGUCAUUCCUGUGUUCAUGUUACUGUAUGGUACAUGGCUAACUUGGUGUUUUCUUCAAUUCAUUUAUGAGCAGGGAGCAUUUAUAGAGGACCACACCCAAUUCUCCUACUACCUCAGUUUGAUUACUACCAUAAAGAACUUUCACUUUGUCUUUCAUAUGAACAGGGUCUUGUGUAAC
rnacentral:lncRNA from 1 species